rnacentral:tRNA from 1 species
UGGCUCAGUGGUACAGUGCUUGCCUUGUAUGCAUGAGGCCCUGAGUUCGAUUUCUCAG